GCAAAGAGAUUCUGCUUGGAUCUGAAUCAUCAUUAUACCAAUAAUAUCACCUUUAACAGCUUGGAGCAAAGUGUCGUUCAACGUCCCAUCCAGACUUACAAUCACCUUCUGUUGAUCAAUCAUAAUCACCCUGUAGACUGUAGACUCCAUUGAGUAGCCGAGGAAAAUAUUCUUUGAUUUUCAAAUGCAAGACUUUCAAAGAGGCAUUUUCCUCCAAACACAUACCAAGAGUUAGUGUUUGCUUCUGAUUGGCCACUGGAAAGAAUGGUGUCUUUCUGGAUUUAUCAAUGAUCAGGGUUCAUCUUGAUCAACCUUCAUUUGUGACAUCUUGUCCUUCGAACACAUAUGAACAACACAAAAGACUCUAGAGUAGUCAACGAUCAUCACAAAAAGAUAUCUGGCUUUGUUGUAGAUAUAACAUUAACUGAUCCGUAGAAAUCCAUAUGUAUCAUCUGAAGUGGCUCAGUAAUGUUGAUCAUAUCUUUGCUUCUUUGUGAUGCUCCUUCGACUUCCCUAUUGACAUACCUCAUAAGCUUCAUCCAUAUAGAAUCCCAGAUGAGGUAGUCCUCUCACCAAUUCUCUUCUUACGAAUAAAAAGAGCUCCUUGUUUUGACAUACAAGUGUGAGAGCUUCAUGUUCCAUAGCUAACACUCAUCCGAUGAAGCUUUACUAUCGAAAUAGCUCACUCCAUCUUCAGUUGAAGUUCCAUAUUAGCUACGAGCAGAUUCACAUCUUUCCUGAUUUGAGAUAAAGCACUAUUCCAUGAACUGACAUAAUGUCCUUUGUCAGAGAACAGUCUGAUACUCAGAAUUUGUGUGCUUUGACUCUUCCAAGAAAGAUAUACUUCCAUGAUGACAUUUCAUAAAAGGAGCAUGUUCCAUAAGAGAAUCUUUGUUGUCAUCUUCCAAAGAUUAUUGACG
rnacentral:lncRNA from 1 species